UGAAAAAAUCAUGAUGCCUGGGUCUCCCCUCCAGAGAUUGUUUUAAUUGGCCCGAGGUAAGACUUGGGCCCCGAGAAUUUUAAAAGCUGCCCAGGUGAUUCUAAUGUGCAGCCAGGGUGGUGUGUCCUUACCACAGGCGAUUCUGCAGAAGCGAGGCUGCCUCAGAAGCUCGGAUCCGCCUCCCCUCCUCUGGCAGCAUAAUGAUCGUCCUUGCAGAUUUCCUCAUAAGUGAGAGAAGCUGGGCUCAUGUCCUUGCCCCACCACUGUGUAACCCUGGGCCAGGCCCUUUAUCCUUCUGAGCCUCAGUUUCUUCAUUAAUAAGAGCAACAAACUCAACCCGGAUGAGGCUGCAAGGUGGCCCCACCCACGAUGCUGCAGCUUAGAACCCCUGGUCUGCAGUGCAUAGGGUCAGGAUGAGCUCAGAAGUGGAAGAAAACUGAACCAAUUCAUGUGCCUGUGGCCACGUGGAGACCCUGCUUCCAUCACCGAUAUGCCCCUGAUGUCAGCACUGAAGAGAAGAUGCCUUUUAGGACCCCAGACUGACUCUUUCCAGUUUCCAGCUCUCAGAACCUCUGUGACCCACCUCUAUGGGCACCAGACUCCUCCAAUCCUCUCCCCCUCCUCCAGAAGCCCAAAUUCUGGCAAUCUCUUACAGCCUGCAGACAACUCUGUGAGCAAAUAUCCUCCCUCCUCUACUCAUCAAAUUAGUGUGAUACUUCAUCACUUCAUUUCCUGGUAGCCAACAGCUUAAGAUAAGCUGCAGAUGUCUACAAAUUCAGAAGCCUAAGGCUGAAGACAGACUUGCCCACUUAAAACUGACUGUGGAAUUAGGAGUCUCUAAUAUGAGUUAUUUCAAGAACUCUCUGAUGCUUUUUCUCCCCUGCCUCUCCACCGAAAUUUUUGCAGGAAGCGUGAUGCAGUCAAGAAUGUGGGUGGAAACAGAAAAUCAAACACCGCAUGUUCUCACUCAUAGGUGGAUGCUGAACAAUGAGAACAUGAGAACACAGGGACACAGGGAGGGGAGCAUCACACACUGGGGUC
rnacentral:lncRNA from 1 species